GUCGGAGUUUCUGUAUAAACAGUUUGCCUCUGGUGGAUGAUUUGUCAUUGAUUGUGUGUGUUUAGUUUGUAUUCUUAGGUGUGUGCUUUAUUCAAUUCUUAAUAUUUUCCAGCUGACAAUGGUGAGGACAGACAUAUCCCUUUAUAUUCUCCUCAUUUUCUUCACAGCACAUGUUGGAUCAGCCUGUGUUUCUGAAGUGUGCCAGAAUUGUAAGAAUGCCAGAGGAGUACUAAAAGAUACCGGAGCUAACAUUAACUGCAGUGGUGAUUUUUCUGUGCGUGUGAACAGCACUGGAUCCAAUGCAGAGGAGGGUCAAGACGUCACUCUAACCUGUGUCCACAACUUUCCUGAUGAGUUUGUGAUAUACACGUGGCUCAAGGAUGAAAAGAUAAUGAAAGACGAGAAUAAAAAGGAGCUUGUGCUAAAAGGUGUCCUCUCCUCCCAGGCGGGCAAGUACAUCUGCAUGGUGAACAGCACAUGUGGCUGUGCAGAGUCUGCGUCCCAUCAGGUCACUGUGAACAGCAACCCUCUGGUCCUCAUACUGAUCUGUGGAGUUUCUUCUGUGGGCCUGAUCGUGAUUAUGGGGCU
rnacentral:lncRNA from 1 species